rnacentral:lncRNA from 1 species
CCGUGACAUUAUGUCUAUGUUUGGUUCACUUGGUUGUUGAUUACCUCGUCAAAAAAAAAAAAAAAAACUUUGAUUGAUGAUUGAUAAUGUAUUGUCAUUUACUUGUUACUCUGACUGAAUGGAUCUUUAUUUAUGUCGGAUCACAAGACACAUAUAGGUAUUUUGAUUUCCCACCAAAUAAUGAGCAUAUCCUGUUCUGUUAAACUUGGAGAGAAUGCGUUUGUACAUCAUACAUUAUAGUAUCCUCAAUAUUAUAAACUUUAGUGAUCUGUAGCUUCAAAUGAUCAGAUGUAUUUUACAGUGCUUGAAUAAUCUUGACUAUAAAGAUGGAUGCAAUGUUAUCAAUGUCCUUUCAAUUUAAGGCUGAUAUCUCAUAUCAAGAUUGUCUAAAUCAAUAUCACCGAUUAUUGGAUGGUUUGAUGCACUUCCUCUCUAUCUUUUGUGUUGUAUGGGUUUUUUGUGAUUCCAUGCCUUCAAUUUUUUAUUAUCUUAUGCAGGGUCUUUCAGCUGGGCUUCUUAGGCAGGCAACCUACACAACAGCCCGACUUGGGUCAUUCAGGUGACUUUUUGUCCUAAAUUUUAUCUUUUCGCCAUUCAGAAUGAACCAGGCAUACUAUGGUUUUCAAAUACUAUUGACAUAUGUCAAGGUUCAUAAAAUUUCGCGUAGCCCUUAGGAUUGUCUUCCUCUAUUGUUCUUUGAUGCAUCUUGGUUCAUUUUCUGUGGUGUCAUACCCUCCUACAGCUAUGUCUUGUACAUUAUAUAUGUGACUGGAAUAACUGGGAGGUUGUCUAACGAUUUACUCUGGGAUCUCGUUACCACUGUUAUUCUGCAUAGUCAGUAGUCACCUUCCUUGUAAGGUCUAAUUUUUCUUUAGGAUUGUUUGAAUCAAAGAUAGAGUCUGUGCUUAUUGGGUUUACACUGUUCUUUUCUGCUUAUUCUAUUUUCAAGGGUGCGAUGUCAUUUUUGGACCUCCAUAGGGAUUCAGAGUUUUGCUAAAAUUUUAUGUGUUCAUGGAAAUAUUCAGCUGACACGCCUUUUGAAAAAGAAUUGAUGUGGAAAACAUAUCAGCAGGUUGAAGAAAAGUGAUGUGAUGAAUUUUAGAAAAAAUACAAAAGUUUAAAACCUACACUUAUUCCAUGCCUGAUUGGAGUGUCAUGCGUAGUUACUAGUGUAAUUGCAAACUACUUUCUGGAAUCCUCUAAAACCACUUCAAAUCCUUUGAUUGAUACUUUGGUUCAUUAAUCAUGAGAUGUUAGUCUCCCUGUGGAUAAAGACGAAUCAAUGAGAUUCCCUUGUCUUCUUCCUUGGGAGGAAGGUGUGCUGGUUUAUGCAACAGGAAGCUGCAUUUUGCAUGUAAUUGACUACACUGAAUUAUAUGUAGUACCUGUUUUCGUCUGUUGUCUGUACCCUUCAGCAAACAGUGUAAUGACCUUGAAUUUUUUUUUGUGAUUGAAAAUUAACCUACACCUCAUUGUUGGUGAUUUUGGGGAUGAGUUUUUACAAUAGUGCAACUUGGUGCUGGUGUGCCUUUUGCUUGAUAAGAUUCUUUCUUUAGUCAUCCAUUUAAAGGGACAAAAAGGUAGGACUAACUUUUAUACGUUUCUUCUGCUUUUCUUAAAAUAGUAUUUUGACAAAAAAGGCCGUUGAGGCUAAUGAAGGGAAGCCCUUACCUCUGUACCAAAAGGCUUUGUGUGGUCUGACUGCUGGAGCAAUUGGUGCAACGGUUGGCAGUCCAGCAGAUUUGGCCCUCAUUCGGAUGCAAGCUGAUGCUACCUUGCCUGCAGCACAGAGACGCAAUUACACAAAUGCAUUCCAUGCACUCUCCCGUAUUGCGGCUGAUGAAGGAAUUCUAGCCCUCUGGAAAGGUGCUGGCCCCACAGUAGUAAGGGCAAUGGCGUUGAACAUGGGGAUGCUUGCCUCUUAUGAUCAGAGUGUGGAGUUCUUCAGGGACAACCUUGGCAUGGGCGAAGCUGCUACAGUAGUAGGUAAGAUAAUUUAUAUACAAAUCUUCCACGAGUCAAGUUCCUUCAGUGCUUAGUGCCUUCCCUCAGAAGGGUUUAAGUUCAGAUUGUAAUUUCAAGAGGGCAUCAAAUGCAUGCUACUUGUCUUGCAAAAAAAAAGGAUGCAAACUUCUCUUUAGAGAAAUCCAUCCAUCUUUUGCAUAGUCUGGUUAAUCAUUAAAUUUACUUGCUGCUAGAGAAUGCAGCAUCUUUCAGCCUGAUGCCUCUCUAUCGUGCAAUUAAGUGCUUUAUGGGGGAAAAAAACCAUUUGAGGGAAUUUGGGACUCUGGCAAAGCUGGUUAACAGUGCAGAGACUGUUAGAUGGUAUAAGCUAUGCCUUUGAUGUGUUGCUAGUGAGUAGAUUCUUCCGCUCUGGCUCUAGAAUGCUAUCUAGUAGGUAGUCGUUUGACUCAUUUCUGCCGUGGCAUUCAAUAACAUGGGAAAAAAAAGGAGAAAAGGUUGUCUGGGGUAUUUGUGUGUUGAAAUAACUUUUUCCCUUGCUCUUCACAUUUGACUGUUUUGAAUGUUAGUGUUAUCAUUGAAUGAUGAAUAUGCUGCAAACUUCACCUACUUACAAGAGUACCUUUCCCUCACCUAAAAUACAGGCGCGAGCAGUGUCUCUGGAUUCUUCGCUUCUGCUUGCAGUUUACCAUUUGAUUACGUGAAGACUCAGAUUCAGAAAAUGCAGCCAGACGCUGAAGGAAAAUUGCCCUACUCAGGUUCCUUUGAUUGCGCCAUGAAGACUUUGAAGGCGGGAGGACCCUUCAAAUUCUACACUGGAUUUCCAGUAUACUGUGUUAGGAUUGCCCCUCAUGUUAUGGUAUGUUCCUUCUACUUCUCCUAACUUGUAUUCGCUCGGUUUUGUGUUAUAGCUUUUAACAUAUGUUUCCUUCUUUCUUUUGUCUGUACAGAUGACUUGGAUUUUCCUUAACCAAAUUAAGAAGGUGGAGGAGAAAAUCGGAUUGUGAUUGUUGCAAAAGAGAUAACAUCAUCCUCUCGGAGUUGAGCUAUAUUAGAAAUAACAUCUUCGCCUUGUUGUAUUAGUACUGUUUACGCUCUUUCUUUACUUUGUGAUUGAUACAUUGACUCUGCGGAAGGAAAUUUAGGUUAGGCAUUUGGUCUAUUCAAUACUCCUACCAAUUUAGUUUUGGAAAAUUUGAUGGAAAGAUUCUUUUAGCUGAAUAAUCUAUGUACUUCAAAAACUAUCUUGAAGUAGGUGUUCUGGAAUUCUACACCAGUUUUGGCUUGCCAUCUUGAGCUUUGUCUUGUUACUUACUAUGGUGAUGCUUAAAUGGUUAAAUUUCAUUUGUUAGCAUCCAUCUUGUUUUGUGCUAUUGAGUAUUGGUGUGAAAAUGCUUCCAUUAGGUUGUUAUACCCCUUGUGUAUGCAUUAUAGAUGCAAAAUCAUGUUCAUGCGUUGUAACGCGUAAUUCUAUGGCACGAUGGCCAAGUUACUAGCCAAGAUCUUUUCUGUAUUUCUUUUCAUAUCUGACACGGAUGCAGCAACAUUUUUUUUUUUAGAGGGGUUUGAGCAAAAUAUUUAUAUGAUCACUAGGAGAAAAGAAGCAUCUGAGCAAAUAUAUCAACAAAAAGAUACCUAUUACCUUCACAAAAUAGCAAAAGUUACAUCUUACAAAAGCCUGUCUGAACUAUUCAAACAUGUUUUUGACACUGCAGAUAUAAACACAAAAUCAUUUGUUAGCUGUGAUUUGGUAGGGAUAAAAUCAGUAACUUCAUAUGUUUUGGGGUAUGAACUUAACGUUGUUAGCAGAUAUAAACACAAAACCAUACAGCGUCUGAACAGCCGAUGAAAUAUGUUGUCAGUUAAAGAGUGUACCGACUACGGAGUGUAAUGACUGCUCGGGAGGAGGCCCUCGGUAUACUUAGUAAUCUUUGAGCAACUUUUAGCAAGGACUUUGGCGAAUUUUCUUCUUCAUAAAACCCCCACCGUUUAACUAUUCGCAAGUACUCCUCCGAAUUUUCAUCUAAACCCCGUUUUGCUAUGAUUACGAGAUUCUCUAGUACCCUCCCUUUCUUCAAAAUGAACUCCACAAAUGGAAGUACGGAGUGUUGUUCCACGAAUUGGGUAAUCUUGACAGUCUUCAAAUGAUGCAGCAAACACUUGACAUGCUCCGCUUGUGAUGCUACGUAGUUUGCAACAUUAUCAAUGCAGAAGUUCUCUGAAUCUGUUAAAUCUGGGACUCUUGGCUAGCAAAACAUUUCCAGGAAAAGUUUACUUCAUUUAGAUACUACAAGAAAUAGAUAAUACAAAUGAUCUCCAGAAGUCGGUAGAGGAUCGGGUUAAUGGAUAAUUAAUUUCAUUUUGUGUUUCUCUGACAAGAAGAGGAAACAGGAUAAGUUAGGCCUAUGAAUUAGCGUCUAAGUUCAUUUGUAUUUUUAAGUUGUCCAAUGUGUCGAGUCGAAUGCAUGUGUCGUGAAAUUUAUAGUGAAGUGUAUCUUUUACGUUGUUACCGAUAGUUCAUUAUACAUAUAUAACGAGAAAAUGUUAUUAAGUGCCCCUUGUGCUUAUCUUCCUCUUUCAUCCUCUUUAUGCCUUACAAAAUUUUAUCGUUUGAAUUGUAUUAUUCUCCUCUUCCAUUCAUAACACAGUGGUCGUGAUGGUAUGAGUCUCAUUAAUCAUGUUCAACGCGGGUAUUUGAUAAAUAAACUGGACUCGUACCGAGUACAGGAAUAACAAGCAAUUCUUUGUGUGAUUGACGGUAGUGCUCUUCUCCCUAAAUUUCCAACAAAUACUCUAGGCAGAAUAUGUCAGAUAAGAAAUAGAGAACACGACAAGUUUAGGAAACGCGUACCUCUUCCCAGAAUUUAGGUUCCAUGUCUAUUAUCAGCGUCUGCAGGUUUGGUGAACCUUUUAGCAGGUUAACGAUUCCCAAAAGAUCUUCUUCCUUCAUAUGUAUAUUUAACGUGGCACAUUUGUUAGUUGAAAUCUGAGGAGGAAUGCGUCUCCUCUCCCUUUGCGCUAGAACCUUGUAGCAUCAAAAUCACAGAAUCCACAGAAAAAAAGUAGAUAGAUAAGUACACACUAGGACAAGUAAGUCUAAUUUAAUCUGUCGUCAUGGGGUAGUUUAAGUAAAAGGUGCACUAACAAGCCGUCAAUUUCUUAAACCUAGAGAUAUACAUGAUAAACUUCUUGAAGGGAUCUAAACGAAACAAUGUGGCAUCCCAUAGAGCAUUAUGUGCUAUUGAUCUUUGUCAUUUUCUACCCAUUGCUUACUGAAUGUAGAAUCACGACUAGAAAGCAAACUCAACCAGAGAACUAAAGCAAGCCAUUGUCCAUUUCCGAGAAAACUAAAACAGUCUAUUGUAAUAAUUACUUCACUCCGCUUCAGAGGUUAAGAUACACCUCAGAAAGACACACAUCAAAAGGACAUCAUAAUAAUGCAAAAUGAAAGACCAGAUACAUAUUACUUGUUUAGAAAACUAACCUCAAUGCACCAAAUGCCCAACGUUAAGCUCUCGACAUGUUUAAGGCUCCUACCCAACUCCAUUAGGUUCUCCUUCUGCCAUUUUAAUUUCUCUUCUCUAAAGGGUUUAAUAUAUGGACGGAAAUCGAGAGUGGCAUGAACAACAGAUGACACAUUCAUCAAAACACACUUCCUAUACAAAGCUCCCGUCAGUUGCAAAGAGCGAACGUUGGGGGCUGAAAUUCUCAAGAUGGGGCCAUGGUCAUGCUCAUCGUUUUCAUAGUCAAUUGUUUCAUACUCGCAUACAUUCACAGUUCUUAAACAAGGUGAAUCAAAAGUCAGAUUGUUAUAGCCCCAGCACGAAAACAACUCAAAGAAUUCCAGUUUUGGAGCACCCACCAUAAUCUCACGAAAGCUUUCAUUCCGCAACACUGAAAACCAGAGGGAUAACUUUGUCAACGUGUUCCAUCUUAUCUGCAUAUCAGGUACAAACCUGCAGCCCCACAACUUCAAUGUCUUGAGCGACGAAUUGCAAUACAAACACUGAGGUGGCAACCAUUCGUAAUAGUAUGUGUCGAAUUCUAGAAAGAGAUCUUCCACAUUAUUCGUUGCCGCAUAUGAAAUCCAUCCCUCAUAAUCUUUAGGAGAAAGAGCAUUUAAAUAUAGUUCAAUUCUAAGUCUCCUGAUCUUACAAGUGCCACGACAGAUUAAGGCCCGAUUCACAAAGGCCAAAUCAUUCUCAUAGGGAAAGAAACCUUCAGUACUAAAAUAAAGCUCUUGAACAUUAGUCCACAGGCGCUGCCAGUGUUUGCAGAGAAUGACUGUUCUGACUACAUAUCUCAUCGGUAGGAACGAGAGGAUGUGAAGCUGUAUCGGUUCAGGCAGCUCGCUAAGACGAUCCAUACGUGAAAGUGAUGAACUUUGAGCACAAGUUCACUACUGUAAUUUUCUUGAUUGCUACAGGAACAUGAUCAAAAGGUGAGUUUUCCACUGAAGGAUUAGAUUUUCAAGAAAUGAUAAAAGGAGAAAGCUUUUAUCUUUAUCAACAAACAAACAAACAACAACAUACCCAAUAUAUUCCCACCAAGUGGGGUCUCUGUGUGCAGGGAGGAGAGGGCGGGGGUGGGGGUAGCGGUUUUAAGGGUUAAGCGUUUGCAGUCCAUACCACCUCAGACCUCAGAGUGAGAUAGAGAAGUUGUUUUCGAUAGACUCACAGCUCAAGAUAAGACAAUCUAGACAAGGAAUAGCAAAAGAACAAGAUACAAUAGAAAUUACCACACCCUGUAGUACCAUAGACAAGAUUCACCAAGUAAUACAACAAACGAUACAACAUUCUAAAAUGAUACUAGUACCAUAGCUACUAAUACGGAUAACAAAGUCCUCCUACCUACUAGGACUGACGCACUCGUUCCUACUAUCCUUCUACCCUAAUCCGCCUCCUCCGCACCUUCCGGUCUAGGGUCAUGCCCUCAGUAAGCUGAAGCUGCCUCCCUCCAAUAUUUCUUCGAUCAACCUCUAUCCCACCUAAAUACAACCCUAGCCAACAACAACAACAACAGCAUAACCAGUAUAUUCCCACAACGUGGGGUCCGGGGAAGGGAAGGGUACGCAGUCCAUACCGCUAUCUAGAGGUGAGAUAAAGAGGUUGUUUCCGAUAGACCCCGGCUCAAGACAAAAACAGUCUAGAAAAAAAUAGUAAAGGGAACCAGAAACAAUAGGCUUUAUCAACAAACAAAAAAAUCAAAAAAAUGGUGAUUGCAACAGACUAAUAAGAGAUAAAUCACAUCAUACUCAGCUAAAACCAAACAAAUUUCAAGCUAUAAACACAUUCCUAAAACACCAAAACACAAUAAUAUCAACUACAGUACAAGUUAGCAACAUUCAAGAAUCUAUACGAAAAGUUUUAAUCUUUAUCAACAAACAAAAGGAAAACACUAAAUUCCAUCAUAUUUAGCUAGAAUUAUAGCAAAUUCUAUGCAAUGAACACAAUCUUAGUACACCAAAAAAGCUCAAUGAUAUCAACUACAGUAAAAAUUAGCAACAUUCAAGAAUCAAUAUGUAGCAAGCAGACCUUUUUCUUGUGGCUUGAGUUUCUUGAAAAAAGACACAUAAAAAUCAAACCAAAAGUGAAUAUAUGCUACAAAUUAAUGUUGGAAGGUAUUCUAGAAAACUCACUAAUUAAUGUAAAAAAAAAUAAAGAUCAGAAGUACAAUCUACACGUGGAAACACAAACUACUAAUCACUUUUUUUUUCCUUCCACUUAUCUCCGUCCCAAUUUAUAGGACGUAAUUUAAUUUUCUAAAUCACUUCGUCUCAAUUUAUACGGCGUAAUUUAAUUAUGCAUAAAUUUUUAAAAAUAUAGAAACAAAUUUGUAAUGUUUUGUAUUAUCUUUGAGAUAAAUAAUUUAAAAAAAAUAAAAUAGAAGAGUCACUUUUGUGAUAUGUGGAUUUUUCACUAAAUAAGUGGAGUCAAAUAUGAAUAUAUCACUAAAUAUUUAUCAAAUUAAAAAAUGUAGUCGAAUUAUUUUUAUUUUUUUAAAAGUGCAUCACAUGAAUAAACAUAGGACAUAGAGAUUAGAGAGAUUAGUAAUUCUUAUGACUAUAAUCAUGACUUAUAAUACUUUCAAUCAUCCGAAUUGUGAUUUAUGUUAUUAUUAUUUUUUCUUGCAAUUCUUAAAUAUGCUAUUUAUACCAAAAUAGUUAGUAGUUACAAUUCCUAUUAAAAUAUUCAUGUCUUGUCCUUGAUACUUAAACUAUGUGGCACCACUAUAAUUUUUAGAUUGAAGUAAUAUCUUUUGUUUUGGUUUAACAACAAUAUCUCAGAAUUUAAGUAUAUUAAACUCACAAAAGGUGAAUAGUUUAGGAGGUCAUUUAGGUAUUAACUCAAAAAAUUACAUGUUCUCUAUUUUUAUGCUGAAAAUCAAAUGUGUCAUAUUGUUACUAUGAACAUGUCAACUUUUUAAACAAAUAGUUAUACACAGUAAAUAUCACAAGAAAAAGAAUUGUAUACAAAUUUGAUUCUUUACUAGCCAAGGGAGAACUUGUAAUCUUACAGCAAUAUUACAAUAGAGGUAGACUUUAGUUUUAUCUUCACAUAAUAGCAAAAGUUCAUCUUACAAAAACAUGUCUCAUAUAGUUAUUCAUGCAUGAUAUCUGAUCUUAAAGAAAUAAAAUACAACCAAUUGCCUCGGAGUAACUGGUAAAACCGAGCCUUGGAAGCAACCCCUUGCAGAAAUAUAAGGCGAGCCUGUGGUCAGGCCCUAUCCCGGACCUUGCGCAUAGCGGGAGCUUAGUGCACCGGGCGGCCCAUACAGCUUCUGAAGCCGAUGAAUAUUGUUCCAUCGGAGUAUGAUAUGAUCACUUAAUGUUAUCAGUUGAGGAGAGUAAUGACUGCUCGGGAAGAAGCCCUAGGCAUGCUAAGUAAUCUCUGAGCUACUUUCAGCAAGGACUCUGGUGAAUUUUCCUCUGAGCCCCUUCUAGCUAUGAUUACAAGAUUCUCCAGUACACUCCCGUUCUUCAAAAUGAACUCCACAAAUGGAAAUACAGAGUGUUGUUCCACAAAUUUGGUCAGCUUGACCGUCUUCAAAUGACGCAGACACCUGAUGUGCUUUGCUUGUGAUGCUAAGUAGUCUUCGACAUUAGAAUUGCACGAGUACUCCAUGGCUCGUCGCCGCUAGAUGAAAAUUUCCAACAUGAAGUUUACUUACAUUUUGAUGAAAACGGAACUAAUAGUACAAAUCAUCUCCAGAAACAAGUAGAGGACAUUUUCAUUUUAUGGUUAAUGAAAGCAUUGACUACUUCUAGGACAACAAAAGAAAAACAAAUUUAUUCAGGGGAAAACAAAAAAUUGGCCAAGAAAAUGUGGUCAAUGCGCAAUCGCCAAUCUGUUCUUCACAAAGAUACUGUAGGAAAUAGUAAACUUGUAGUAUGAACUAUGAACAAAUGUCUUGGUUCUUUGUAUUUUGAACUUAUCUCCCUCUUCUUUCCUCUACGCGUCUUGUGGAAUUUUAUCCUUUGAAUUGUGUUGUUCUUUUCUUACAUGUAUAGCUGUGGUAACCAUCCUAGUUUUAAAUCAAUAACCGGUUCUUGGGGUGGUGAAUCAAGUUUAAAGGGGGUGUUUGAUAAAUAAACAUGAAUCUUAGUUCAUGUAUUAAAAGAUUAAUGUAAUACGUAUGUUUUUGUUCAUAUAUACUUGGGAUAAAGGUGGCGUUUAUGUUUUUCCUCCCUCAAAUUUCCAGAAAUCCUCUUAGCAAAGAAAUACAGAAGGCGAAAGAGUUUAGGAAAUGUGUACCCAGUCAUAGAGUACUGAUUGCAUGUCUAUUAUUAGCGUCUGCAGUGCUGGUGAACCUUUUAGCAGGUUAACUGUCCCCAAAAGAUCAUCUUCCGUCAUGUAUGCACUUAAUGUGACACAUUUGUAGGUUGAAAUCUGACAAGGCAUGCGUCUCUUCUCCCUUAGCGCUAGAACCUUGUACCAUCAAAAUCCGUAAGGAAAAAAAAGUAGAUAUUUCAGUACACACUAGGAAAAGCAAGUCUGAUCUGAAUUUCACGAAAAUGAAAUGGAUAUCUGUAGACAUGGGGAUGUUGAAAUAUAAAGACGCACUAAACAAGUUUCUAGCGGUGAUCACUUUACUUUACUCCGAAGAUUAAGACACCUAAUAUACACUUCACAAAGACGGACAACGAAAGAACGUUACAAGAAAUGCAAUGAGAAAAUAUCAGAUAUGGACUACUUGUUUAGAAAACAAACCUCGAUGCACCAACUACCCAAGGUUAAGCUCUCAACAUGUUGAAGACACCCAACCAACUCCAUUAGGUUGUCCUGCUUCCAUUUUAAGUCCUCCUUUUGUUUAUCGGAAUGAGUAUAUGGAUGAAAAUCGAGAGUGGCCUGAACAACGGAUGGCAUGUUCAUCAAAACACACUUCCUAUAAAGAGAUCCCGACAGUCGCAGAAACUGAACAUUUGGGGCUGAAAUUCUCAUGACGGGACCAUGUUCGUACACACCUGAUUCAUCGUCACAGACAAUCAGCACUCUUAAAGAAGGAGAAUCAAAAGUCGGAUCAUUAUAGCCCCAGCAUGUAUCCAAUUCAAAGAAUUCCAGCUUUGGAGCACCCACCAUAAUCUUACGAAUGAUGUCAUCCCACAACACCGAGAAUCGGAGGGUUAACUUUGUCAACAAGUUCCAUCUUAUCUGCAUAGCAGGUACGAGCCUGCAGCUCAACAACCUCAAUGUCUUGAGCGAUGAAUUGCUAUAAACACACGGAGGUGGCAACCAUUCACAACAAUCUGAAUCAAAAUCUAGAAAAAGCUCUUCCACGUUGUUCUUUGUAGCAUACAUUAUCCAUCCAACAUAAUCUUUACGAGAACUAGCAUUUAAAAAGAGACCAAUUCUGAGUCUUGUGAUCUUACAAUUGCCACGACAAAGCAAGGUCCGGUUCACAAAGUCCACAAAAUUCUGAUAUGGAAAGAAAUCCUUAAGAUCAAAAUCAACCUGUUGGACAAUAGUCCACAGGUGCGACCAGCGUUUGGAGAGAAUAGCUGUUCUGACAACAUCUCUCAUGUUCAGGAAUGAGAGGAUGUGAAGCAGUAUCGAUUCAGGCAGCUCGCUAAGUCGAUCCAUAAGGAAAAGCAAUCAAUUUUGAGGUCAAGCUUAGCUACGAACUUCAGAUUUGCAUCUUUCACAAGGUAUCUGAAUUGAUUCAGGAUGGAAGCAUUAGAUUUAAGUUUUAACCUUUAUGGAGCAGCUCGGUGCACAAAGCAUCCACGUUCACGCAGGGUCCAAGAAAGGACAUCCCAAAGGGUGUCAUGUAGGCAGCCUACCUAAUGCAAGCAUUAGUGGCCGAUUCAUAACUCGAACCCGUGACCUACAGAAACUAAGAAACUAUACAGUUGCUUCAAGUUUCCCUUCAAUGUUUUAAUCUUUAUCAACAAACAAACAAACAAACAAAAAGAAUAAUAGAUCGCGAUCAUAACAUACUACAACAACAUACCCAGUGUAUAAAGCAUACGCAGUCAAUACCACUACCUCAGAUGAAGUAGAGAGGCUGUUUCCGAUAGACCCUCGGCUCAUGCCAAAAAUCAGUGUACCAAGCAGAGAAAAUAAAAACAAACAACAAAAAUAUGGGAACACAAAGACAACCACAGAGUAAUACUAUGAACUACCUAUCUAAAAUCACAAACAUCCUCAAAACACAGCGAAUAAGAAACUACAAGACACAUUCACAACACUUAAGACGACAGGUAAAAACGCCAAACAAAGCUGGAUUUCAUGCAACAGACUAAUAAAACAUAAAAUCCAUCAUAUUCAGCUAAAUCUCAUGCAAUGAACACAACCUUAAUACACCAAAAUAACUCAAUGAUGUUAAGUACAAAUUUAGCAACAAUCAAGAAUCUGCAACCCCAUAAAGAUAAUAAGAUGAAUGGAUCAAUAUCAGCUAGCAGACCUUUUUCUUUAUGGCUUGGAAUUCUUGAAAAAGGGCAAAUGGAAAUUAAAGCUAAAGCAAUUAAAAUUACCUGAAGCUGUCGGUAGAGUAGAGCAACUAGUGGAAAAAUAAAAUAAUCUUUUAUUUUGGAGCUGAUAUAAAGACCCUUUAUUAUUAUAAUUUAAAAUAGUUAUUUUCAUAAUUUUUACUAUUUUAAACUUUUUUUUUUUUUCAAAUUUUAUAUUUUUUAUGUUCAGACGCGUAUAAUUUUAAUUGUUGUCAAAGUAGGCAGAUAAUAAUUUAUUAUAAAUAUUAAAAGAGGAGGGACCAGUUUUGAUAAUAACUAGAAGAAAGAAACCAAACAGGCCUUAUUACUAAAAUAUAAAAAAGAAAAAUAAAUUAUUUAAAUAAAAAUGGUAGGAAGACGAUAAAGUUGCUGAGAAAAAGCUGGUUCUGCCUAAAAACAAAAAUCCAAAAUUUCAAAAUUUUCUAUAAAGAAAGUCUCAAAGGGGAAUUCUUUUUGUUAUUUUUUUUCUUGAUAAUUUUAGUUAAGUUUUAAUUUGGGUAUUAUUAUUUGGUGAAAAUCAAGAAAGUAUUGUUAUUGUUGAUUAUGUUGUCUAUGAGAUAUAUAUUGUUAUUGUUAUUAUUAUUAGCUUAUUUAUUUGCAGCUUUUGGAUAUACAAAUUCCCAAUCUGUUUGUGGAAUUCAGCCAUAUAAUUUUCUUUAUGAUCUGAGGUCUCAAUCUCCUAUUGGGAUCUCCUUUCCAUCUCCUUUGCUUCUUCAGGUAAUUGAAUUUUUUUUUUUUUGUGUGUGUGUGUGGGGGGGGGGGGGGGUAUUUUUUUGUUGUUGGUUUUUUUUGUGUAUUAAUUUAGUUGAAUUUGGUUGUAAUUUUAUUUUAUUAUUAUUUUGAUGAUUGGUGUUGUAAAGAUUUGAUUUUUUUGAUGUGAUUGUGCUAAUUUUGGUGAUUAAUUGGUGUUUCAAGUUGUUUUUCUUUGUUCUUGAUUAAUUUUGUUUACUUUUCAAUAGCUAAGCAUAAUUUGGUUGUAGUUUUAAAAUUCUUUUGUUGAUUGGUUUGGUAAAGAUUUCAUUUUUUUGGUGUGGUUGUGCUAAGUUUGGUGAUUAGUUGGGGUUUCAAGUUAUUUUUGUGAUUUGGGUUUUUGUUUUUUGGUUCUUGAUUGAUUUGGUUUACUUUCAAUAGCUAAGCAUGAUUUUGUUGCGAUUUGUUGAUUGUUUAUUGAGGGUUUUUCAUUAUUUUUGCUUUAAAAGAUUGGAUUUUUAGGUUAUUUUUGGGUUUGUGAUUUAUCUUAUGAUCCACAAGAUAAGGUUUUUAAGUCAUAGGGGAAAAUACUGCAGCUUAUAUCUGCUGAUUUUUUUUGGUUUGGGUAUUUACUUUUUAAUUGUUAGUGCUAUGUAUUCUCCCUUAGGAUGUGUUCAUAUGAAUGUCUACUGGUAAUGAGUUGACUGAUCAUGACACACCAUCAUGUCAUUUUAACUUAGCUUCAGUCGGAAUGUGGCAUUAUUGUUAGUUUAGGUGAACAUUAUAAGGAAGGCUAUUUGACCUCCUCAGGCUCCACACUUCUUUUAUCCUAGUAAAUCCUUGGUAUACAAGUUCAAGGAAGUGAUUUAUGUUACAUCCUCCUACAAGCUAAAGAAUGCACCAAGAUCUUGGGUUAAAAGGUGAUAGUAGCAUGUAUAAGAAGCUGAAAUAAGACUAGAAAUAACUGUUUUCCAAAUAGGUGAAUGAUAAAGUGGUCAUUAAAUGGUUGGUUAACAGACUAGUUGAUGGUCAAGCUAUGUUAAGUUUGAAUGUAUGUGCUUAUCUAACUUCUUGUGGCUUCAGAUGGAUUUGAAAUGUUCAGAUCAACUUUGAAAAAUAGAUUAUUCAAGUUCUAAUUAGGAGGUCAUGGGUUCAAGUCAUGAAAAUAGUCAAGAAAUGUGGGGUAAGACUGUGUACAAUAGACCCUUAUGGCUUGGUUUUUUCAUGGAUUCAUAGCGGGAGGACACGGGGGACGGGGCUGCCCUUUUUUCUUAUUAGUGCCUUUCAAGUUUCCUUCAUCCUGGAGAUUUUGUGAUUUUCUUUUUCUGUUUUUCCUCAUCUUAGCUCACUGAGGACAUGACCCUAGAUAGGAAGAUCUGGAAGACGCGAAUUAGGGCAGAAGGCUAGGGUCAGUUUGGGUCGCUAAUUUUCUCUGUUUACUAUUACUUGUGGGUGUCGUAUUUAUGUUAUGCCAUCUUGUUCCAUGCUUUACUAUGAAUUUGUUUAGUAUUACGUGUCUCGAGCCGGGGGUCUAUCGGAAACAGCCUUUCUACUUCUUUAGUGGUAGAGGUAUGGAUUGCGUACAUCUUACCCUCCCCAGACCUCACUAUGUGGGAAUAAACUGGGUUUGUUGUUGUUGUAAUGUAGGUUGGCAAGGUAGGUGUAUUUAAUACGUGCUGUGGUGUCUCAGUAAUAUAUACGUACUUUGGCUCUAGGAUUGCUUCUUUUUUGCUUAUUAUGGAUUAAACAUGACAGGCAUUCUCCAUUUCUAUCGUAGUAAGUUGUAGGAUUUUGUAAAGAAUAUCAAAACAAAAAUGAUUCCAUUUCUGCCGUUGUUAUGAUAAUAAUAACCCAACCUUGUUGAAUACCAGAAAAUAAAUGGAUUGAUCAUUUGAUCUCCUCGCUGAGAUGAAGGCAUAAAAUCUGAAAGAAAUAUAGAAUUAGAAUCGUUUUUUAGCAUUUAACCCUCUUUUAUGUUAUUUGAAAUUCCUGAAUACUUGUGAGGAAUGCUUAUUCUUUUGUUACAUAAAAUUCAUCUCCAGCCCGAACUCUAUGCAACCUUGAUAUAUACGCUGUUCUUAAUGGAUAGGUCUCAUCAAUAUCCUUCCAUAGUUUCCCAAAGUUUACGUUACAUGAUCAUUUUCUUUUCUAUUUCUGUUCCUUGGUGUAAGACAGAUGGGUUGUGUUUUUGGGUGUAGCAGAGGGAAUUGAGGACCUAAUUUCUCAUAGAUUAACUUUAUAAUUCUUCAUGUGAAUUGCGUUCUUUUUGAAAAAAAAAAAAAAAAGGCAUGCAUCCUAGUGUAUUUAUUUUUCUCUUAUCCUGAUUGUUUGCCUUUUGCAAUUUCCCACAAAAGGCGAAUGGAGAAUCACUUGACAAGGCUCUGAGGUCCAGUCAGAAAGAUGAGGUUACUGCUAUUUUGUUCUACGCCUUGUGGUGUCCUUUCUCGGCAGAUGUUAAAUCAAAGUUUGGUACUCUAAGUUCCAUGUUCCCACAAAUCAGACAUGUGAUGGUUGAACAAUCAAAAGCCUUGCCUAGGUAUUUUUGUUACUAUUAUCUUUUCUGUGUUUGGUAAAGCUGUGUCAUCUCUAUUAGCAUUUGCUUCACCGAUGGAGCUUUUUCAGUAACUGCUUACAAAGUGCCAAUAAAUUUUAUGUAAACAUCUUAUCCCUGACUAACCUUUAUGCACUUGUUAAAAAUACUUAAUUAGUCCCGGACAUUAAACAAUUAAAUAGAUGUCCCAAACCUUUUUGUUUUCAGAACGUGGAUGUACUGCAUGGAAAUUUUUGUUAGGGAAAGUAUGAGAUUGAAACUAUUAGAUGAAUAUUUUGCCAAGCAACCUUGUGACAGCAGCCGUUUGAGUUUUGACCUGCAUAUUCAAUUAAAUAAGCACUGUUGUGUGCUUCAAUAUUAAGCAUGUAUGCCGUGAUGACAUCAUAAUAUUUCCCCCAAGAAAAGGAAAAUUGAUAAAGAAAUAACUUUUUCCUCUUUCCCAAGCUUCUCCGCUCUUGUUUCAGCUGGUUCAUGUAUGCCGUGAUGACAUCGUAAUAUUUCCCCAAGAAAAGGAAAAUUGAUAAAGAAAUAACUUUUUCCUCUUUCCCAAGCUUCUCCGCUCUUGUUUCAGCUGCUCGUCACAAUUUGAGUCAUGUGUCUUGCCUCUCAUCUGCAGUGUCUUCUCCAGAUAUGGAGUUCACAGCUUUCCAUCAGUAUUGAUUGUGACUCGGACAGCGAGAGUGCGAUAUCACGGCAGGAAAGAUCUUCACUCUCUUGUAAACUUCUACAAGAGGACUACAGGUGAUCUUUUCAAGUGCUUUCCUAUAUUCUCCUUUUACUUGCUUUUGAGUGGCGUAGUAGUAAGAGUUCAUCCAUAACGUCAUAAUGUUUAGGAGUGAUCAUUUUUCAUCUUUUACUAAUUAUAAGACGAACGUAAAAUUAGGUGAUUGGGCUUUGAUUGUUAUGGUGGAACGGUCUCAUAUUUUUCUCCUCUCUUUCAAAGUUCUCACCUUGCCUCUUUCAGACAAUGUCCACACAUUAUUUUAUGACUGCUGAAAUGCAAAGCAAAUUUGCCGUAGUGCGUGGAGUGAACAACUAUCAGGGCCCUCUUCCUUGGAAAAAUGACCGUCUUCUUUAUGAGUCUAAAACUUAAAGUUAUAAUUGGCAAUUUACUGGGUUUAACCAUGCAGUCAUAUGCGAUAUAAGUAGUAGAAUAUUUGUUUAGAAAUUUGUACAGUAUGCAACAAAUUAGUGCUUUACUCUUUCUCAUUAUCAACCUGAUGGAUUUCACACUUAUAUGCUUGUUUCAGGGCUUGAUCCUGUGAUCGAUGUGACUGAAAGUCAAAUUGCGUAUAAGGCAGACGGUCGCAAAGCUUUUCAGAGAUGGAAAGGGUCCUCGCUAAAAGAACUACUCUCGAGUGAACCUUACCUUGUUUUAUCGGUUGCGUUCCUAUUGUUUAGAGCUUCCGUAUAUUUCUUGCCCGGUUUGGUAGCUCGUGCAGUGGCAUUAUGGGCUGCAUAUAUUCCUCAUCUGAACAUGGGUAUCUUUGGAGAUUCAAGGCAGCUCCUUGGGCGUGUCUUCCACGUAAUGGACCCCAAGAGGGCUUGGAACAAGCUAAAGCUAUGCAAAACGAGAAACUUCCACAAAGGUGCUAGGAAUGCUCGAGUUUGGGCUUCAUCGUUGACAUCAGUUUCGCUGGGAGAGACUUCAGCAGCAAGAGUAUCCCCAUCAGGAGACUUGUAAGCUACUACUCGUCGUCUCUUUGCAUCGGAUUAUCACUAAAGCGAACAAGUUAGAACUCAGAAUCUGGCGUCUACAGCAAGUAGAGUGAUCCUACUUCUUCAUUCCCCGUUAUUUCUUCCCCCUCGGUUUAGAUGUUCUGGCGCCAUAUUGUAUCGUAUCUUUUUCAGAAUAUACGCAGAGACCAGAGGAUGUUGUGCUUUUAGAGUUUAGGUGGAAACAUGAACAGUGUUCUUGUAAAUUUUUAGAACAAGAGGGUUAUGUAUAUUACAUGAUGACAAGAGGGAGACUUGCAUGUGGUUUGUCUGCGAUGGUUUGUUGAGUUGAUGAUGCUUUUCAUCAACAACAUAUGUUGUCUGUUAACUAUAAGUAGUUCAAUAUUUGGAACAUCAUCCUCCAACUUUACCUCGUACUAUGUAAUACUCGGCUUGCUGCUACUUUGAUUUAGAUGAUAACUGUUGUCACCUUGAUUCGAAAGGUAAUCAAUGGUUCUCUACUUUCUGUUGUGUAUCUGUAAUCACUUGUCAUUCCGAUUACUUCAUCGAUAACACUCUAUACAAAAGGACUGCAUUUGCAAACUCUUGACUUAUCCCUGAGAUUUGACGGCGGACUUAAAAAGCCACCUAAAAAUACUUUACGCUCAAUCAUUUCAGAUAACGCUUGCAUCCUCUGUAUUAUCGCAGCUGCUCUUAUUUCCCAGAUAUAGUCAUUGCUUCUUCUCCGGAAAAAGAAGUUCACGACCCGUGGGCCUUCUACCUCUACGCGGCAUUGCUCCGUCAAGCUUUCGCCCAUUGUGAAAAAUUCCUCACUGCUGCCUCUCGUAGCAGUCUGGCCCGUGUCUCAGUCCCAGUGUGGCUGAUCAUCCUCUCAGAUCAGCUACUAAUCAUUGCGUUGGUAAGCUAUUACUUCACAAAACUAGCUCAUCAGAUGCGAGUCCCUCCUCGGGUGGAUUCCUCCUGUUGCAACUCAGCCUGCGAGGUAUUAGCAGUCGUUUCCAGUUGUUGUUUCCCUCUCAAGGGCAGGUUCAUUUGGUGUGGGAGGGUUGGGGAGUGUUAGUGGAGGCAUUGAUUGAUAAAUUUGUAUUAAUUAAGUAUAAUUUAGAUGUUAAGGUCUAAACCAACAGACCAAGUGUAAUUAUUGAAGGAUGGAUCAAUCAUAUAUUUAAGGUGAAAAAGCCAUAUGUUUAGACCUUCUCUCUUUUCAUUAUCUACUACCAUGUGCACCCCAAAUGAAAUAGCAUAUGCACAUCAUGUUUUCUUUUAUAAUUGCGAUGUUUGGGUCAGUAUUCUGGAUCAUUUUAUGUACUAAAGCUUAGACAAAUACAAUCAGAAGACCUAGUAUUUUUUUUUUAUGUUGGAUUUUAAAUUUAAGACCUCAUAAUUUUCGACCAGACAACAUCAUGCUUUGUUGCUAGUGUAUUUCUAGGUGUUCGUCCCUUAGUUGUGAAACUAAAACUUGUCUUUACUUAACAUUAAUCAAUUUUUUUAAAACAAGAUGUUAGCAUAUUGAUUAAGAAGAGUAUCUUUCUCUAUUGUUAGCCAUGUGGUGGUUUGAAUUAGUGGGAUUCUAUGUUUAACAAUAAUCACAUAUUUAAUCAAGAAUUAUGUUUAACUUAAAUUUGGUAGGUAAAAGAUUUAUGAAAUGAUUUGUCUAUAGUUUUCACAAUUUGAUAGCCUUUCAUUGAACUUCAAAUAAUAAGAAUACAACUUGUAGUUCACAUGUAUAAUUCAAGAGUCACCAUCAAUUGAUGUCUAGAGAAUAAAUGGCUACUACAUAUACAACAAAGAAAAUCUAAAUUUGUGGCAUCUAUUCAACUAACUUUCUCAAAAAGAGACGGAGACGAACACUUCAAAUAUAUCACAAAAAGGCUGGUCCUGAAUUUUACAGCUUUAUCAAGAACCAGACGACCGACCGUGUCCAGAUUUGAAUUCGUAAUACAGACUUGAAUCAUACAAUACAUUACGCACUGCGCUUUUAUCACUACAUCAAAUAUUUUUGAAGAAAUUUAUAUAUUGGAGACUUGAAAUUCACAUUUGAUACAAUAAUGCUUAUUGUAUGUAUAUUCCAUUGCAAGUUGCUAGUGGAAUCAUUCUCAACAUGUUACUUUUAUUAUUAGACAAGUUAAAACCUUAGAAAAGGUUCCAAAGGUAGUUCAACUAGUUUGGCCUUUAAAGUUUAAAGUAGAAUUUAAAAAUAAAAAAGUUACUAUAUAGGUUUUGAAUUCUUUUCUAGAAAGAAUAACAAAAGAAGUUCAAAAAGUGAAAUUGGUCCAAAUAUUAUGCUCACAAAGUUUCUUUUUCUUCAAUUUAUUUUUAUCUCAAUGUUUAUUUUGGAUUGAUUAGAGUCAUGAAUUAAAUGAGAGGAAAAUCAUUAUACAAGACUAAAAUUAAAAUAGCAUCAUUAGUAUAAAUAAUUUACGCUAUUAAGUCAUCUAUAAGCAACUUCCUUGCGUAAAAUUGUAACUUAUUACGAUAAAUAAAGAUAACUUGAUCGUAUAUUUAUACCGAGGUUUAUAACUUAAUCUCUUUAAUUAAGGAUUAUUUUUCAACAUAAUGUAGUGUAAUAAUUCAAAUAAUUAAGGAAAUGAGAAUUAUGAAAGCAAAAACAUUAAGAGUCAAGAUCUCUUAUUAAUAAUAAUAACCUAAAAAUUCACUAAAUAUUCCAAAAUAUAUAUUACAGAAAAAUACAUAAAACUAACAAAAUACAAUCAUAAACUCACCCCAAAACACAACCAAAAAAAAAAAAAAAAAAUCCAACUCCCACAACCCCGAAAAAAUUAAAAAAAAAAAGAAGUGAAAUGACGAAAAUACCCUCAUGAAUAAAUAUAGAGAAGAUAGAAGGAGCUAUCUCAGAAGAGAAGAGCAAAAGCAAGAGCAACAAAUGAAGAGAAUACAGCAGCAGGGACAAAGACGGUAGUAGCAUCAGAAGCCGGUGCCGGUGCCGGAGCAUCAGCGGCGGAGACGCCGUUCAUGGCGGAGAUAGCCACCAUCGUUAUGACAAGUGCAACAACGAUGAUCUUCAUGUUCAUGUUAAUGGCUUCCAUUUGUAUUAUGAAUGUUGUUAGGUGAGAUACUGAAAUUCCUUCUUUGAGAGCAAAAUGCUUGAAAGAGAGGAAUUGCAGAGAGAGAGAGAGAUGUUGUGUUAAGGAGAAAUGAGGGUAAUAUGGGGUUUAUAUAUAUGUGUAUAUAGAGUGAUGAAAGAUGCAUGUGUGUGUGUGUGGUGUGUGAAUAUCCUACAUAAAUACUUCUCCACUAAGAAGCAAUAAAGGAAGCUUUGGAGUAACUGGUAAAGUUGUUGUCGUGUAAUCAGGAGGUCAUGUAUUCAAGUCUUGAAAACUGCCUCCGGCAGAAAUGCAAGGUAAAGUUGUAUACAAUACACUCUUAUGUAUGUUGGGCCCUCCUCCGAACCUUACGCAUACCGAGAGCUUUAGUGCAUCGGACUGCCCUUUGUAUUCUUGAGCUAG